AUACGGAAGGUCCGGGCGUUAUCCGGAUUUAUUGGGUUUAAAGGGAGCGCAGGCGGAGAUGCAAGCGUGACGUCAAAUUUCGGGGCUCAACCCCGUCUCGCGUCGCGAACUGCGUCCCUUGGUUGCGGGAAGGGGAGGCGGAACUCGUGGUGUAGCGGUGAAAUGCAUAGAUAUCACGAAGAACUCCGAUCGCGAAGGCAGCCUUCCGGCCCGUCAACGACGCUCAUGCUCGAAGGUGCGGGUAUCAAACAGGAUUAGAUACCCUGGUAGUCCGCACAGUAAACGAUGGACACCCGCGGUUUGGCCUAUAUGGCUGAGCCGCCAAGCGAAAGCGUUAAGUGUCCCACCUGGGGAGUACGCCGGCAACGGUGAAACUCAAAGGAAUUGGCGGGG
rnacentral:rRNA from 1 species